rnacentral:rRNA from 1 species
GGGGGUUCCGGCCCGGGGGCUGCGGCCGCCGGGUCUGAAAGUUAGCUACCUGGUUGAUUCUGCCAGUAGUCAUAUGCUUGUCUCAAGAAUUAAGCCA